GUGCUUGUUUUGGGAGCACAUGUACUAAAAUUGAAACAAUACAGAAAAUAAUUAGCAUAACCCCUGAACAAGAAUGAUAUAGUUUACACAGCUAAAAUUCAACUAUUC